rnacentral:rRNA from 1 species
UGGCGAACGGGUGAGUAACACGUGAGUAACCUACCCCCCACUCUGGGAUAAGCGUUGGAAACGACGUCUAAUACCGGAUACGAGCUUCAGCCGCAUGGCUAGGAGCUGGAAAGAAUUUCGGUGGGGGAUGGACUCGCGGCCUAUCAGGUAGUUGGUGAGGUAACGGCUCACCAAGCCGACGACGGGUAGCCGGCCUGAGAGGGUGACCGGCCACACUGGGACUGAGACACGGCCCAGACUCCUACGGGAGGCAGCAGUGGGGAAUAUUGCACAAUGGGCGAAAGCCUGAUGCAGCAACGCCGCGUGAGGGACGUCGGCCUUCGGGUUGUAAACCUCUUUUAGUAGGGAAGAAGCGAUGUGUUUUACACGGAGUGACGGUACCUGCAGAAAAAGCACCGGCUAACUACGUGCCAGCAGCCGCGGUAAUACGUAGGGUGCAAGCGUUGUCCGGAAUUAUUGGGCGUAAAGAGCUCGUAGGCGGUUUGUCGCGUCUGCUGUGAAAACCGGAGGCUCAACCUCCGACCUGCAGUGGGUAC